rnacentral:tRNA from 1 species
AGCAGAAUGGCUGAGUGGUCUAAGGUGCUGGUUUCAGGUACCAGUCAUUGCGGUGGUGCGGGUUCGAAUCCCUCUUCUGUCA